rfam:Cavia porcellus supercont2_169 genomic scaffold, whole genome shotgun sequence.
GGGGAUUUAGCUCAGUGGCAUAAGCACCUGCCUUGCAAGCAGGUGGUCGUGAGUUCAAUUCCCA